CCUACGGGAGGCAGCAGUGAGGAAUAUUGGUCAAUGGGCGUAAGCCUGAACCAGCCAAGUCGCGUGAGGGAUGAAGGUUCUAUGGAUCGUAAACCUCUUUUAUAAGGGAAUAAAGUGUGGGACGUGUCCUGUUUUGUAUGUACCUUAUGAAUAAGGAUCGGCUAACUCCGUGCCAGCAGCCGCGGUAAUACGGAGGAUCCGAGCGUUAUCCGGAUUUAUUGGGUUUAAAGGGUGCGUAGGCGGCCGUGUAAGGCAGCGGUGAAAGUCUGUGGCUCAACCAUAGAAUUGCCGUUGAAACUGGGAGGCUUGAGUAUGUGUGAGGCAGGCGGAAUGCGUGGUGUAGCGGUGAAAUGCUUAGAUAUCACGCAGAACCCCGAUUGCGAAGGCAGCCUGCCAGGCCAUGACUGACGCUGAUGCACGAAAGCGUGGGGAUCAAACAGGAUUAGAUACCCCGGUAGUC
rnacentral:rRNA from 1 species